UACGGGGGGGGCAAGCGUUGUUCGGAAUUACUGGGCGUAAAGGGCUCGUAGGUGGCCAACUAAGUCACACGUGAAAUCCCUCGGCUUAACCGGGGAACUGCGUGUGAUACUGGAUGGUUUGAGUUUGGGAGAGGGAUGUGGAAUUCCAGGUGUAGCGGUGAAAUGCGUAGAUAUCUGGAGGAACACCGGUGGCGAAGGCGGCAUCCUGGACCGGCAUUGACGCUGAGGCGCGAAAGCUAGGGGAGCAAACGGG
rnacentral:rRNA from 1 species